rfam:Camelus ferus unplaced genomic scaffold scaffold392, whole genome shotgun sequence.
GGAGGGUACAGCUCAGUGGUAGAGCGUGUGCUUAGCGUGCAUGAGGUCCCGGGCUCAAGCCCCAGGCCCUCCA